rnacentral:rRNA from 1 species
AACGGGUGAGGAACACGUGAAGAAUCUGCCCUCCACUUUGGGAUAACACCGGGAAACCGGUGCUAAUACUGAAUAUUGAAACAUAAGUGGCAUCACUGAGUUUUGAAAGAAUUUCGGUGGAGGAUGACUUCGCGGCCUAUCAGCUAGUUGGUGAGGUAAUGGCUCACCAAGGCAACGACGGGUAGCCGGCCUGAGAGGGCGACCGGCACACUGGGACUGAGACACGGCCCAGACUCCUACGGGAGGCAGCAGUGGGGAAUAUUGGGCAAUGGAGGAAACUCUGACCCAGCGACGCCGCGUGCGGGAUGAAGGCCUUCGGGUUGUAAACCGCUUUCAGUAGGGAAGAAGCGAAAGUGACGGUACCUACAAAAGAAGCACCGGCUAACUAUGUGCCAGCAGCCGCGGUAAUACAUAGGGUGCAAGCGUUGUCCGGAAUUAUUGGGCGUAAAGAGCUCGUAGGUCGUUUGUUACGUCGGAUGUGAAAACCUGAGGCUCAACCUCAGGCCUGCAUUCGAUACGGGCAAACUAGAGUUUGGUAGGGGAGACUGGAAUUCCUGGUGUAGCGGUGGAAUGCGCAGAUAUCAGGAGGAACACCAAUGGCGAAGGCAGGUCUCUGGGCCAAUACUGACACUGAGGAGCGAAAGCGCGGGGAGCGAACAGGAUUAGAUACCCUGGUAGUCCGCGCCGUAAACGGUGGGCACUAGCUGUGGGUCCCUUCCACGGGAUCCGCGACGCAGCAAACGCAUUAAGUGCCCCGCCUGGGGAGUACGAUCGCAAGAUUAAAACUCAAAGGAAUUGACGGGGCCCCGCACAAGCAGCGGAGCAUGCGGCUUAAUUCGACGCAACGCGAAGAACCUUACCAAGGCUUGACAUAUAGCGAAAAGUGGCAGAGAUGUCAUGUCCGCAAGGGCGCUAUACAGGUGGUGCAUGGUUGUCGUCAGCUCGUGUCGUGAGAUGUUGGGUUAAGUCCCGCAACGAGCGCAACCCUCGUUCUGUGUUACCAGCAUUUAGUUGGGGACUCACAGGAGACUGCCGGGGUCAACUCGGAGGAAGGUGGGGAUGACGUCAAAUCAUCAUGCCCCUUAUGUCUUGGGCUGCACGCAUGCUACAAUGGCCGGUACAAGUGCUGCGAGAUCGUAAGAUUGAGCGAAUCACAUAAAGCCGGUCUCAGUUCGGAUUGAGGUCUACCAC